CUUUUUAAAUUUUUUUUUCCUUUAAAAGUUUUAAUCCACCUUGUAACACCACCCAAAAAGAAGCGAAAUUAAGCUGCAGUGUGUACUAGGAGAGAAAACCUACUUUAUUUAUCACCCAGCCCUACUUCACCAUGCACUGACCUAAUUACAGCCCACACCAGGCUGGGUAGGAGGAGCAGCAGAAGGAGCGCUUCUGCCACCUAGUGAUCCCUGUCAAUCCCUUUGUGGAAUUGGCGUUUUCCUGUCCCCAGCGCUCGACAGCAAGCGACCUUCCCCAGCCAGCCUGCCUGGAUGCCGGGUUUAUCUGCACACCGCUCUCUUCUCCUCUUUUACGGCUCCAAAACAUCGCUCACGGAUGAAUUCUGACCUACGGCUGGCAACGCUCAGGAAGGCAGCUUGCUUGUGAUCUAUCAAAAGAAAUUAUUUCCUCGAGGAAAAAAAUCCAAUGUUCCUGAACUGGCAGGUCAUCAACUUCUGUUUGAAGGAGUACUCAGUGGAAUGGUUUUUUGAUCCCUGGAAGAUGCCUCCGCUACCAUGAAAACCACCUGCCAUUCUCCUUCUGACAGGAUCUUGGACAAAAAUGCAUACAAGGCCAGUGUAAAAACUCCUAAUUAGUGUAUCAUUAUAUCCAAAUUCAAUAGGAGCAAUCUACAUGUGACAAACAGUCAAUUGAUGCUGAGUUUAUUAACAGAGAUGCAGAACCUAGGUUGAGUUGUCUGUAGGAAAGGUGUCAGACAAGUAGUGCUGCAAAUAGUGAGGUAAAUCAGAAGAAAUGCACUCUUGCUGCAGAGAAGGAAAAGACCAUCCUGGGCUGCUUUAGGCAAAGUAUUGCCAGCAGCUGGAGGGAGGUGAUUCUUCUUUUUUUAGCACUGGCCAGUCCACACCUGGAGCACUGUUGCCAGUUCUGAGCUUCUCAGUUCAAGAGAGGCAUGGACAUGCUGGAUGAAGUCCAGAGAAAGGCCGCAAGGAUGAUUAAGGGACUGGAGCUUCAUGAGGAAAG
rnacentral:lncRNA from 1 species